GCUGUUAUACGCAAGUCAUAUGAUUCUUGGUCUGCUUAUUUGUUUACGUAAUGGUGAGGUUCACUGAUUUGACUGGUGAUAAAAUACGGAAUUUAUUAGAUGAAAAGCAGAGCAGAUACUCGAAAAAUAUAAUUAUCAAUUUGGAUAUUGGGUAUGUUUUCUUUUAAACUAGUGUAAUCAGUGAUAAAUGUAUGUAAUCACACUGUCCCGUUUAAAGUCAACAAACCAUGUGCACCUAGUAAAAACAACCUAAAAAAUGAAGGUGUAUAACAAAACAGUUAUUAACUGGGUCCUCGGACAACAGCUGUUUUGUUUGACCCUCGAACGGAUCGGUUGCCCUCAGCCUACGGCUUCGGGCAACAGACCCGUUCUCGGGUCAAACAAAACAGCUGUUGUCCUCGAACCCAGUCAAUAAAUGUAUAAUGUUGCACUGAUGAGAAAUGAGUACCGUGGUGAGGUAGAACAAGAACUAAGAGGCGAAAAUACAAUGGCCGAAAUUCGCAAGAAAGCUUCAAAAACUGAAGAGUUGAAAACAGCAUGGCUACAGUCUGUUCAGUCAUUGAUUGAUUUGCUACAGUAAAAAACCUCAAGACUGAAUUUGAAAGGCAAACCGUUUUGUGUUAACCAAGCAGCCAGUGAUGAAGAAGUAAGGAGAUGUGAGGAGAAAGUGCAGGAAUUGGUAUGUGAGGAGAUUCAGUUAGGACAGUACCAAGAGAAACACCUCUCAUCCAAACGUGGUAAAUUUCAGACAUAUUUCUUUUGUUUGUAUUUGAUAUAAACCGGAUAGAAAUGGCACCUUGUAAAAUUCUUAUACUUUUAUUUACAGGCUACAAAGAAUUCUUGGAAACUCAUUGUAGAGAGAACACUUAUUUGUUUCAAAUAAAAAAAGUGUACCAACUUGAACUGCUGCAGGCCAAGAAGAGCAGAUAUAGAAUUCCCUUGGAUUCCAGAUCCAAUGCUUGGUGAUGAUAAACAACAUUAUGCAGACAUGGAAAACUUACUUGGGAAAGAAACAACAGAUAAAGACCAACCUUCUUCUCAGAAAACAAGGCCCUCUACAGUUGCUGAGCAGAUCCAGGGAAUAAGAAAUGCUGGGCUAAUUGCCCAAAAUGUCAGGGAAAUCGUUAAGUGUUACGAGUGCCAUAAACCAAGAUGCCUAUUCAAAGAAUAAAAUGUCAGUCCGUGAAAUGAGAUCCUUGAAGAGAAGUCUAGAAAAGUGAUGCUUUACAAGGAGUUGUUUGUGUGAGAAUGCAGAUGGACUGUAGAUCUCCUAUUGAACAUGUUUACUAUGCAGAUGCAAAUGUGCUAAAUGUAGACAAAUCCGUAUGUUGCCACUGUGCAUGAGAAGUUCAUGAUGAAAAAAUGAAGAGUUGCUCAGGAAAUAUCGAGUUCUUCUUCCCAUUUGUGCACCUUGUAAACAAUUAGGCAAAGAAAUCCAAUUAUAUAAACUAUAUUUCAGAUUUGAUUGUAUGAAUUGAGGUGAACUGGACAAGGUCCUGAGAUGUUCUUUGUUACUUACAGUAUAGCAUCUUGCACAUGUUUUUAGUAAACGUUUGGAAUUUCGAAGUAUGUAAUUGUGAUUUUUUUUUAUCAAACAGUAUUUUAGAUUUAGUUUGGCAUUAAAUGGAAAAAUAUCUGCAAUUCUUGCAAUGAUGCAUUUAAUAUUUUUUCAGACUGGAUACAUAAUUUUGCUCUUCAGUUUCCUUUGAAAUAUUGAAAGUUUACUAUUUCUGAAAGUACCAGUAGUACUUAUGUUUGAUACUGAAUUUCUAGUCAUAUUUGUAUUGUAUGUUAAACAAUCUAAAUAUUUUAUUAUCUAGUCCAACAUAGAUUUUUUUUUUGUUGUUGUAAAUAUUGAUAUUUAUUUUGGUUUUUGUUAUUUGUGUUUUGUUACAUAUUCUUUAUUUUUGAUAUUUUACAAUUUGUCUUGUUGAAGAUUUUGUGUUUUUCAUUAAAGUUUUAUAAGAUCAAACGCUUGCUUGAUAUUGGAAAUGUCAGUAGCACUAGCUAGAACCCUCAGUUUCCAUAGUGCUCGGAUUAACUGGUUAGUGACCCAUACACAUCAGCACAAAGUGCACACCAUGCAGUUAUGUAACAAAACUAGCUAGCACACUACAUAGGAUGUUUAAGGAUCAGAGGGUGCAUAUACUACAGGCAUAAUGUGAAAAGUGAUAGAAAGAAAGGUGUAUACUAGUACAGAAAAACAUUACAAGCUUCAUGAACAAGAAUUAAAUGAAUUAAAGCAGACAGAACUUACGUGCAGCUUGAAGUGGAGAUAAUAGCUUAAUGCUAAUAAUAUUAUAUGUAUCUGCACUGUAUAAAAGCAUAGAAGCAACAUACAUAAAGUUAUACAACGUAAAAUCAAGAAAAAAGUUUCUAUAAUUAUUUUUCCAAUGCAAUAUAUUCAGACAAAAUAAAAUAAUUACCUACAUACGUACACAGACUGAAAAUGGUGGGCUGGGGAAGGGCAAACAAACAUAUUUUUAAUUUUGGCCUAACAUUCUGUGUUUAAAAAACGGUCAUAUUUGAUAUUUUGGUUUUGUCACUAGCAAUAUGAUUAUCAAAUAAAGACUUCUAUUUCAUUUUAUUGUAGAUUUGUAUAUCAUUGCAAGCGUAUAUGUGAUUCAGCUGAAUGUUGAAUUUGAAGUGCAAAAUAUGAAAUUCAAUGUCAUCUGGUUCAUUGGUAAGGUUCACUUUCCCCUCUC